rnacentral:rRNA from 1 species
UGGGCAACCUGCCCCUCUCUCUGGGAUAACCCCGGGAAACCGGAGCUAAUACCGGAUACUCCGGCUGGAUCGCAUGGUCCGGCCGGGAAAGGUCCGCCGGAGAGGGAUGGGCCCGCGGCCUAUCAGCUUGUUGGUGGGGCCAUGGCUCACCAAGGCGACGACGGGUAGCUGGUCUGAGAGGACGACCAGCCACACUGGAACUGAGAUACGGUCCAGACCUCCGUACGGGGAGGCA